rnacentral:rRNA from 1 species
AUUGAACGCUGGCGGCAUGCCUUACACAUGCAAGUCGAACGGUAACAGGUCUUCGGAUGCUGACGAGUGGCGAACGGGUGAGUAAUACAUCGGAACGUGCCUAGUCGUGGGGGAUAACUACUCGAAAGAGUGGCUAAUACCGCAUGACAUCUACGGAUGAAAGCAGGGGAUCGCAAGACCUUGUGCUACUAGAGCGGCCGAUGGCAGAUUAGGUAGUUGGUGGGAUAAAAGCUUACCAAGCCGACGAUCUGUAGCUGGUCUGAGAGGACGAUCGGCCACACUGGGACUGAGAAACGGCCCAGACUCCUACGGGAGGCAGCAGUGGGGAAUUUUGGACAAUGGGCGCAAGCCUGAUCCAGCAAUGCCGCGUGCAGGAUGAAGGCCUUCGGGUUGUAAACUGCUUUUGUACGGAACGAAAAGCCCCGGGUUAAUACCCUGGGGUCAUGACGGUACCGUAAGAAUAAGCACCGGCUAACUACGUGCCAGCCGCCGCAGUAA